UCUAUUGUUCUGCAAUUGCAUGUGUUGCUGUCAGACAUUUAAAAAGUGAGAAAAUAAAUACGUAUGUACGUAUGUACAUGUGUGACUGAAUCCCCUUCCUGUACACCUGAAACUAACGUUGUAAAUGGACCACACUUCAACAAAAUUAAGAAUUUUUUAAGAAUCACGUUAAAUACAAAGAAACUAAGCCUCAGAGAGCUUACAUGACAAGCCCAAGGCCGUAAAAUCCAUUGACGGCAGAAUUUUGCCCAGAAAGCUCUUCGCAGUGCUCGUGUUAAAGACAAACCGACGUGGGUUCAGGGGACAGUGACAUGGACAACGAAGGCAGAGUCGACCGGCUCCACGUGACUCGUGGUGAAAGGACCAGAAAAUGUCGCGAGGGUCAGAGUGCAGGAUGCCGUCACCUAAUCGAGGCGUCCCGGGAAGAGCCAGACCUCCUGUAGCGACCGGCUGAGGACUUCUAAUAGAACACAGCAGAGGUUGAGCGAACCACGUAUGCGCCAUCUUAGCGACGAACUCCCCACAUUUCAGCUUUUUCACACUAGGUCCAGUCCCUUUUUGCUAAACAGGAUGGCCCAGAGGAGGACCAGGCCCUCACUCCUUCCGCCCCACGUGCUUGGACUGAAGUGUGUCACCUCCUGGCUCCCCACUGGAGCUGAAGUGACAGCAGAGGAAGUAAUGACUUCUUGUUCUGACUCAUGAUUUAGUGAUUACAGAUUAGGACAAUACUACUUUCCAUUUGCCGUGCACUUGCGACUUCAUUUUCACACAUGAAAUCAUCUGACGGUCUCAACAGUCUUUUGAGGUGGGUAUGACUGCUCAGUUCAGAGGAAACUUAGGGGUCAAGGAGCCUGUGCAAAGCUCAGCCAGCCAGUGCAGGAGGGGCCAGGCCCCAUCAACUCAGCCAAAUUAGGGACUUCCCAUCCACUUAGCACAUUUUGUUCUGUUAUCUUAAAUUCUGGAGUCGUUUUUUUUAU